ACAGAACGAGGGGAGGGGGGGGAGGGAGCGUGCCUAUUGAUUUACGGAGAACUGAAUAAACAUGUUUGGGAGCAUGAAAGCUCACAGUAGUGACAGUGUUUCCUGGCACGGGCCCAGCGUUGUGAUGAAGGCAGCAUUCCCUCAUUGGGCGCACGUUCAAUCCGCUGAGGACCUACUGCAAAAACACUACUCAAAGAUCCUCUAUAAGACUGGAGAGCUGUAAUCUGAUUGUUUAAAGAAAAAGCCCCCUUGAAGUAAAAUCGGGCCAGCACAGCUGAUUCUGAAGGCCUUGGGAAGAGGGUUCACUCUGUUCGUUGGUUCACCUAGACGCAAACGACGACGUUCGAACGGAGUGAGACCUGCUGUAAGUCAUACUGUCGGGGGAAAGGCGGUGCCGCUAGCAAAAGCAAGCUCGCAAAAAAGUGGACACUCGUGAGGGGCAAUGCAAGGGUCGCGGGGGCAUGCUGGAGCCUAUCCCAGCUCACUUCGGGAGACAGGCGAGGAAACUGGAAACCGGAGUACCCGGAGAAAAGAGAACAUGCAAACUCUACACAGAAAUGUGUGGAGAAUUGAACCCUGGUCUUCCCGAUAUCCAGGCUGUUACUGUGUUGGCCAACAUGCUAACCACUAGACCACCGUGCGGUCCUCUUCAACAUGCCUCACAUUAUAGCAUGGCAAGCCUGUUGGUGACCUCCGUCUUCAGCUCGUUGAUGCGAAACGCUCUAAGAGAAGACCAAUGACAUUGCGGCAAAUUGGCGUCUGAUUGAACUUGUCUCCAAGGAGCUGAAGCGUGCAAAAUCAUCAGUGGAUGGCGAAGGGUAGGCUUCACAUCAGAGCGUAACGUAAACAACAGGCGUUACCUGCUGAACUGCUCGGCCACCUGGGACAACACAUUCUGAAACAUGUCCUCCUUCUCUGCAGACACAUACAAUGCAUGCAAAAAGCACUAUACAUAAUUGUUAUAAUUUAACGGUGAUAAGAUCGUGGUUGAAGAUACGUUACCUCCAAGUUGGCCAGUAGACAAGGGGACAACUUUGUACAAGGAACUGCACAGAAAGCAGAAUAUUAACAUGAGUAAUUAUUGUUACUACUUCAUUCGCUUUGACUCAUAAUGACGAAAGGCUGAACAAGGUGCCUCCACUACUGUUCUUAAAGGAUCAAGGAACUGAAAAGAUCAACUCGUCCCCGCCUAAGUCACACACCACACUUUCUCAAAAUACAUUCUCAGGUUUUUGAGUUAUGUGCAUUCCAGAGCCAGACUCAGAUAUUGAUCGAAAUCAUAACCAAAUGGGAAUAAAGCAAUCAAGAUCAUAACCAGAUGGGAAUAAAACAAUCAAAUUUAAUUUAAAAAACAAACAGUUUUGAGCUCAUUCAUUACCAUGUCCUUUUUUUUGAAGUGGUCAAAGAAUGGCACAGAGUGAAUUGCAGAUAUUUUCCAACAACAAACCUGACAAUUCCCAAUUUGGAGCAGCACCAGAAUUGUAGAUCUGUCUCCGGAUCAUGAUUAAAGGUUUAUCAAUUCAUUUGAUUCAAAUUUAACUAAUUCAAUACCAAAGACAUAGUACGUUUUAUAAACCCCAACACCGGAUCUCAACAAUGUAUUUAUACGUCUUUUACGUUUUUUUGCGUGAGAAGCUAAAAGAGCUGUUGACGCAACUCCCCACUAAUCCAUUUGGCUUCAGAGCAAUUUUAAGCCAUAAAAACGGCCACUAGGUUGCAGAAGUGCAUUUGAUGAGAGCUCAGUAGAGAUCAUGUAGACGGAAGAAACACACAUGACAGGAAGGAGGAAGUGGGAGAGUGUGGAGGAGUUUAGCGUGCAGAAGGUUAUGCAUUGUAGGGAGAUUUUACCGCAUAAGAGGCAUCUAGCGUUUUGGGAGGCACACAGCACAUGGCGAUGAUUUCAGGAAUCUGACUAAUUUAGUGCAUGGAAACGUAUGGAAUGAAGUUCUGCUGUCGAUACCCACAACAUGCGGGGAACACAAAAUUCGGAGAAAAUACCAGCACCACACGAUUAAAACACGACACUUUGAGAAAACACAGUGCCAGUCUGUAACAUAAAAUGUGGCGUGACCUGCGUGUCACUGCGCAAUACGUAGCCGGAACGCAAUCGGUUCAACUGGGUUCUACGCAUGUGCAGAACGCGUCAACAUCCGGUAUGCCUAUUUUUCGGCAGUCACAUGUUAGGCACGUGUAAUCUACGCCAUCCGUCAAUCUAUUUUACGGCAGCAAGCAAUAUACGUCACCUCUCCACUAGAAAAACUGAAAAAGCUGAAUUGUCUAGAUUAAUCCAUCAUUGCACUCUACUUAUGGUUGUUUACAUUGAAAUAUAACUGCAUUUUAUGUUUUUUAUUCUAUUUAUUUAUGUAUGUUGCACGUAACCGGAUAUGACGUUUACGCCUGCGCUAGGUGCAUUGCAUACGGUAAGUUUUUACGUAGCUCACUCUGGGUGGAUGUCAUAAUACGAUAGAAACAUCGGCAUGCUAACCAAGUAUUUUAACAAGAGUCACUUAUAAAAUAACCUCCCAACAUAUUACAUAUAUGAAGUACGGUUAUUGACCGUUUAUGUUCAUACAUUUAAAAAAUAAUAACUACCACAGUGCGUGAUGUCGCAGAAGCACUGUCGUAAAAAUUUCCUAA